rnacentral:lncRNA from 1 species
AUUUUUCAGCAUUGAAUUUCACUUUGACACCCCUUACUCUACUGGUCACCUGACCAUUCUUCACUUUUCCAUUGGCCAUGAACUCCACAAGUUCCUUCCUUGAAAAUAUUUCAUCAAUCUAAAGGACCAUGUCCUUCUAGCCUUGUGCCUCCAGUGAUGUGACAAGUUUUAUCAUGCCAGGCUCCUCCAGGUCUUUUAGAGAUAUUCCCUUCAAUAUCUUUCGUUUGCCAUAUAUGGAAUACCUAUCAUGUUCUUCUUCAGAAUCACUUUUUUCUUCUUCUUUCUCACUCUCAUCUUCUUCUUCUUCUUCUGCUACUUUCACUUGGUUGCCCUUAGAGGCUGAUCUUGUUCUCUUGGCAAGAGGAUUCAGCAAGAACUGGUUUUGAGCGCUUCUUAGAGGAAGUCAUAGUCUCCUUUGAUUUGCAAGUGGAUCCUCCACAGUAGUAUGUCUUUCUUGAUGGACCAGUUCCAUCUCCUCUUCCUCCUCUUCAGACAUAGCUUUUGAAUUUUCACCUACCUUCCCUUUCCCUUUUUCUUUUCUCUUUCUCUUACUCUCAUCUAAAGCUAUCUUCAACUCAGCUUCACUCUCCCUAACCUUGAUUCUAGUUGUCCUAACCCUAGGAGCAGACUUGGGUGUUGAGGAUUUGGAUUUCUUGGUUGGUUUGGAUGCAACAUGGGUCCUUUGUGAGGAAGCCUUGCAUUUCUUGGGAUCAUAACUAGCCCCAAUCUUAUUCAUCAUCUCAACCAGAGUUUCUUCCGCAGAUAGACCAGGUUCAUCAGGUUGUUUUCUCAAACCAACUAACCUUUCAGCAGCAUCUCCUGAUACACUUUGCCCUGACUUAGAG